rnacentral:lncRNA from 1 species
UCAUCAGUCUUGUAUGCUGCACGGUUAGCUUGCAUUCCUUCCUCAGCCUUGUUGGCUAGAGCUAAGUCUCCCUUGCUUCCGAAGAGACCAAGGGACCCUUCCUCCUUCUGGAGCUGCGCACACACUUCCUCCAUGGAUGGAAGACUUGGCAUCCUCAGCAUGUGCUUGAUCACAUCGUUGAACGGAGGAUCCAACGUUAACAGCAACCCAAACACCUGAUCCU